rnacentral:rRNA from 1 species
GGAAGUGCAGUAAUGUACGGAGCUGACUAAUACUAAUCGGUCGAGGGCUUAUCCA